GAGGCAAUUUUUCCGCUUUUUUAAUUUGGGUUUGAGACUUAGGAUGGUUUUAGACAAAACCCAAAAUCAAUCGACACUUUAGUUGUAUCCAAAACUUAGGUAUUUUUCCCAUCUGAUCUCUUACUUUUCUCUCCUCUUCCUUCAAUCCUCUUCGAUUUCCUUCUAUUCUCUCUUCGAAUUUCUCUCUUCUAUCUCAAUUGAAACUUAUUUUAUGGCAAAUAUGGGAAAAUCAAGUCGAGGACGAGGAGGGAGGUCAAGCGAAGAAACCGAAAAAACUCCUCAUGGCGAAAUUAUACCGAGAACGCCAGAUUUGUGAGAUGCGGAAACGCGCCGAGCUUAAAGCGCCGGUGGCUAAGCUUGAAUGACCAUGGGAGCCGGUUCAGAAACCGCCGAAUCUAUUCUCUGUUUGUGCUGAUGAGCAAGUUAAAACAUCAAUCAAACACACUUAUCGCAUCUUAAUCUAACUCUUCAUGUUUGAGGUUUGUUUUGUUUGUUUUGGUCAUCUGGGUAACUUAAUGAUUCACUCGAUUUUUCGGUGGUUGAUUGUUAAUCUGCGAGCCUUUUUUUGAAUUAAAGCAUUGAACUUUUGAUCUAGCUACCAUCGAUUAUUUGAACUGAUUGUUCUUUUUAUUGUUUACAUUAAGGUGGACUGGUUUAACAGAUUUCUUUCUCUCGUACAUGUGGCCCUACGUCGAUAAGGUUUCUUUCUUGUCCUUGUUCUUUCCUGUUAAGUCUGGUAAGGUUUCUCAUUGAUUGUAGUUUUGGUAGAUUGAGACUUUGUUGGAUAUGUUGCUUGCUUUAGUCUUUGAUUUAUGUUGCUUGCUUUAGUCUUUGAUUGACUUAAUAAAGUUAAACUUGUUGAUUGGUAUGGUGAAGACAUGAGAAUCUUCUUGUAUUGAAGUUUUAGAUUGUCUGGAGUAGUAGGACUCAUUAAGAAAAAACAAACUUUUUUAGUUCUUUUAUUGUUUAGUUAAGUUUGACUACUUUCGGUCGUUGUAUAUUUGGAUACAAGUCUUUUAGUUCUUACGUUGCUGUGUUGGGUUUAUAAUAGGUGGUUGAGGUAUCAACUUCAAAGAGUAUAUUACCAAAGAAAACAGUCAUGCAAUUUUCUUCUGUGAGAUUUUGGGUGCAAGGAACAUGUUUGCAGCCACUGAACUGCAACGCCAGGUAAGCGUCAAAAUUCUGAAUUUGCUGUCAAACUCAUAACAUAAGGAUGCAUUUUGGUCAAGACACAAAAGGCAUAAGAAUGGAAAGAGAGUUAUGCGAGCUCUUCUGCAGCAACUCUUGUGGAGCUUCAAGAUCAACUUCGGCGCAAGAUUUAUCAACACGAGUCUGAGAAUGCAUGCCGUGAUCAGGAACACCGAGAGUCUCAAGCUGAGAUGAAGAAGCUUUUCCUCUUCAUGAAAAAAAAAAUUCCUGAGUUCGAACUUGCUUUUGAAUACUGUUUGUUGGUUGUUUAGGAUGAUCUUUUUGUUAAGGAUGAUAAGUUUGCUUGAUUAGUACUUUAAAUCAUCAUUUGUUUCGAUUAAUAUCAUUUCAAAAUCCAAAAUUA